CCCCCCUUCCCGGCGACCCCAGCCCCGGCGCGCCUCAGCCCCGGCGCCCCCAGCCCCGGCGACCCUAGCCCCGGCGCGCCUCAGCCCCGGUGACUCCCAUCUCCGGCCUCCUCCCUCCGUCGCCGCCGCGCCUCUCGCCACCUCCCUCCGCCACCAACCCAGAUCCCUCCGAGCACCGUGCGCCAUCUCCUGCGAUUCCCGCCACCGCCUGUUUCUAGCGCGGCUCUCCGCCUCCCAGCGACGACGAGGAAGAUGACGGGGGAGCUGCCCGUCUUAACGCAUGGCGCCCCUGGUCCUUGGAUCCCCGCUCCCCUCCGGCUACCCUACUCGCUCGCCCGGCGCUCGCUCCGGUGACCAGCCGCGCGUCACACGAUAGAUCCCCAAGCUCCUUCACAUUCAGCGCCGCCGCCACGCAACCUCAUCUCCGUUUUCUCUUCAUUACGACCUGUAGCCUGUAGGAGUUUCUUCAGCUGCGGUUCAACAAGAAAACCAGCGGCAGUCCAUGCACCCGUUCUAUCUCUUUCCUCUCUAAUGCUCUUUAUCUUACUAAUUUGUUUUCUAUUGGAACUGCAGCCCGAGGGAGGUUGGACGGACAGCAUAUUGGCGAUGUUGACAUCAGUUUGUUUAUAUUGAACUGAUGAUCGUGUAUUAGUACUACUGAAGUCAAGCAAUGAGUUCAAUGGAUUCCAAAAAGGAAAAAAUUAUGGAUGGGUGAUGAAUCAACUUCCUGUACUGUUGUGCCAUUAGCAUUGGACGACCCCGACCACUGGCACCACUGCUUCCCUACCUCCUGCUUGCAUCGCCAUCUCCCGGUGGGGCUCUGCCGCCGGAGCACCCUGGCCGUUCACAGCCACCACUCUAGGCCGUUCAACGCCAUCACCCCAGGCCUUUCAUUGCCAGCAGCACCCUGGAUCCCACCCCUCACCCUAGGAGUUUCAGUUAUCGACAAGUCCAUGUAGUACUACAUGCGAAGUACAAAAAUUACUGCUAGUGAGAGUUCAUUUAAAUCCUGGAAGUUCAACGCUGCAACUACAGGCCAUUCAAUCUCUCCGUCGUGGACACGCCCCUCCACCUCCUUCUGGUUGCUAGUCAUCCCGGUGUGGCCAGGCCGCUGGGUUCGCCGCUGCUGCGAUCAGCAGUCCAACCCGGCCGCCCCAGGCCGUUCACCGUCGCAGCUCCCUGGCCGACUGUGUCGAGCCACCUUCCGCCUGCACCUUGGGCUCCCGUAUGCGUCCCCUACCCCAGCAGUUUUGGUCACCAAAAAAUUGGAGGUUUAGAUAUGGCAAAAUGGAUUAGAGCGCCAUGUCCUCACCCAGAAGAAAAUAUGGUGGCCUUCAGCAAGUAAUCUUUCUCUAACGGGCAUCCUAUGCCUGCGCCACCGAGAGCCUGAUCCUACUUGCUGUGUGCUCACGGCAACCACAAGCAUCGUAAGAAAAAGGCUCGUUGAGCUGCACUUGUUUGUACUGUCGCUCUUCCUCUGCUCCUCAAGCGCCACUGCUGUCUCGUGCUGACCUCGACGCACCGACCGUCCUCCAGGCUGCUGCUGGUUCGUGCUACAUAAACAAACAGAGUUAAAGAACAUAGAUGAGAGGAAUUCAGUUCAGGAAGAUUAAAGGGUUAACCUCCUGGGAUACACGAAGUUUCAGUUCGUCGAGAGGCUUCCUGGAGCUUCAAAACAUUUCACUUCACCUUUUUAGGCUUUUUCAGUACAUCUUACAAAGUGUGUUUCCUUUCAUCAUUUUUAUCUACUUAAAAGAAGUGUAGAAACUUGAGGAAAUACCCCCAAAAUCAUGUGUGCCCUCAGCACUCUUCUACGUGCUUGUUCUAAUGCUUAUGAGAAUUAUUCUUCAAGGUCAUAAUUUGGAACUAGAUAACUUUUCAUAGAUGAUUGUACUGAAGCUAGGUGUUUAACAGAAUUAUUUCUCAUAAGUUCGCAAAUCACCUAUUGGUUUGGGUUACAUCUCAUCCACAUCUUCACGAAAAAAGUUGGAACUUGCAUCUAUAUUUAUGUUCCGGUUACCUUCGGUUAAUUGUACUGAAUUUGGCUAAUUGUAGCUUAUUAGUACUAAACUUUUGUGCAUGUGCUACCUUUUGUAAAGUUCAUCUUGUCUAGUAUAUAUUACUGCUGUCGUUGAUUGCAGAUUUUGUUUUUGGGAAUUCCACCGUUGAUCCCAAGCUCCACGGGCAUUUCAUGCAUUCGCUGGUCUGUGUGUGCAAUUAUUCUAUUAUGGAGAUGUCAGUUCAUUACAGCGCUACUCCGGCUUUUUUCUCCUACAACAAGACUUGCGUAUGGCUACAGGUUCAUAUCAAGGAAGUUUAGAAAAAUUGCAGCGCCUUUCAGUUCAUUGUAUGAAAAAAGCAAAGUUCAUCUUGUCUAGUAGAGGUUGCUGCUGGUGUCCGUUCAUUGUCGAUUUCGUUUUGGGAAAUUUCCAAAACUUACUGCUGAGAACGGAUGCAGUUUGAUCUUGCGCAAGUUGGAAAUUCCCUGAUGCUGAGUGUGUCAGUACAACCCUACGUCACACAGGGAACAGUGUGUGUACAUUUUUGGAUUUAAUUUUGGAAGGUUCGCACAUCCAUAUUAGAGAGAUUCAUCGGACAUAAUUUUGUAAGUUCAGAAAAAGCAAUUGCUCAGUACAUCACAGCAGCUCUUCAAUGCAAAAAGGAUGGCUCUUCUCAAGUCAGCAGCUAACUGAACUGGCAACUUCAGGGUAGCUCAGUCAAAUAUGGCAGCUGUGCAGUAAACAACUUCAGUUGAGAAAUCAGCAAGCGCCAUGCUCAGUCCAACCCCGUGGCUUCAGGGUGGCCGAGUUCGUCGCGACCAUCAGUUUGGAGACCUGCGUCACUGCCCGUGUCGCUACCAUGGCCACCUGCAUCACUGCGUGCUCCGUCAACAGCCUCCUGCACAAGGAAAAGCAACCGGAGUAGAGGCUUUUGAGAUGCUCUGUUCUAGCGAGGUGGCUGAUUAUGUUUGUCAGUUUGUAAUACUUUGGCCGCAGUUUACUUAUGUAUCUUUUUCUGGCCGGAGCACGACCAGAGCUUAUGUCAGUAUGAACUUUGAUUGUGAUGGUACUACAAACUCUAUAAUUACUUACCUUUUAUACAAUCCACUUGGAUUGUGCCCCUAUUA